rnacentral:rRNA from 1 species
UGGGGAAUAUUGGACAAUGGGGGCAACCCUGAUCCAGCCAUGCCGCGUGUGUGAAGAAGGCCUUUUGGUUGUAAAGCACUUUAAGCAGGGAGGAGAGGCUAAUGGUUAAUACCCAUUAGAUUAGACGUUACCUGCAGAAUAAGCACCGGCUAACUCUGUGCCAGCAGCCGCGGUAAUACAGAGGGUGCGAGCGUUAAUCGGAAUUACUGGGCGUAAAGCGAGUGUAGGUGGCUCAUUAAGUCACAUGUGAAAUCCCCGGGCUUAACCUGGGAACUGCAUGUGAUACUGGUGGUGCUAGAAUAUGUGAGAGGGAAGUAGAAUUCCCAGGUGUAGCGGUGAAAUGCGUAGAGAUCUGGAGGAAUACCGAUGGCGAAGGCAGCUUCCUGGCAUAAUAUUGACACUGGAGAUUCGAAGCGUGGGUAGCAACAGAUUAGAUACCCCGGUAGUCCACGCCGUAAACGAUGUCUACUAGCCGUUGGGGUCCUUGAGACUUUAGUGGCGCAGUUAACGCGAUAAGUAGACCGCCUGGGGGAGUACGG